CGCCUUGCCAGCCCGCUCAGAAACUUAAAUAAAUUGACGGGGCCCGCACAAGCGGAGGAGCAUGUGGUUUAAUUCGAUGAUACGCGAGGAACCUUACCUGGGCUCGAACGUAAGAUGACUGUAGGUGAAAGCUUACAUCUCUUCGGAGCAUUUUACGAGGUGCUGCAUGGUUGUCGUCAGCUCGUGCCGUGAGGUGUCGGGUUAAGUCCCAUAACGAGCGCAACCCCUACCUUUAGUUGCCAUCAGGUUAAGCUGGGGACUCUAAAGGAACUGCCUACGCAAGUAGUGAGGAAGCGGGGAUGACGUCAAAUCAGCACGGCCCUUACGUCCAGGGCUACACACGUGCUACAAUGGUCGAUACAGAGGGCAGCUACCUGGUGACAGGAUGCAAAUCUCCAAAGUCGGUCUCAGUUCGGAUCGGAGUCUGCAACCCGACUCCGUGAAGUUGGAUUCGCUAGUAAUCGCGCAUCAGCCAUGGCGCGGUGAAUACGUUCCCGGGCCUU
rnacentral:rRNA from 1 species